rnacentral:lncRNA from 1 species
CUCCAUCGACUUGAAGCUCUCUCGGCUUCCACUUCUAUGGACAGGUGGCUCUCUACCUAGCCAGCAAAAUGGUUUUGCCUUGGGACUAUCUUCCCUUUCCUGUCAGAGGCCUGAGUAUGUAAGAGAUGAACUGGAUUUAAUCUGUCAGCAGAAGUGAGAGAAGCAGACCUGGCAAGCUGGAGAAUUCUGCAGGAAUGGGGGAAGGGCAGGAAGGAGAGAGAAUUCUGAGAAAAGGGAGGAAGUGAGCUGGUCUGGACAGUUGGAAAGCUUCUUCUCUUCUCUGAAAAGCUAGCAGGAAGUUGGAUUUUGUGGAUCUCUGAGCAAGUACUUAUCUCUUCCUGUGAAAAUCUUGACUCAAUACCCCAAGAAGACAACUAAGGGAAUAGGACUUCAAUUGGAAGCUGUUCUCUAGAAGAAAG